rnacentral:rRNA from 1 species
UGGGGAAUUUUGCACAAUGGGGGAAACCCUGAUGCAGCGACGCCGCGUGAUUUAGAAGGCCUUCGGGUUGUAAAAAUCUUUUCUAUGGGAAGAAAAUGACAGUACCAUAGGAAUAAGUACCGGUCAAUUACGUGCCAGCAACCCCGGUAAUACUUAAGGACCGAGCGUUGUCCGUAACCAUUGGGCGUAAAGGGUACGUAGGCGGGUAAGCAAGUUAGAAGUGAAAUCCUAUAGCUCAAAUAUAGUAAGCUUUUAAAACUGCUCAUCUUGAGGUAUGGAAGGGAAAGUGGAAUUCCUAGGGUAGCGGUGAAAUGCGCAGAUAUUAGGAGGAAUACCGGUGGCGAAGGCGACUUUCUGGCCAUAACCUGACGCUGAGAUACGAAAGCGUGGGUAGCAAACAGG